rnacentral:rRNA from 1 species
GAUCAUGGCUCAGGAUGAACGCUAGCUACAAGCUUAACACAUGCAAGUCGAGGGGCAGCAUGGUCUUAGCUUGCUAAGGCUGAUGGCGACCGGCGCACGGGUGAGUAACACGUAUCCAACCUGCCGUCUACUCUUGGCCAGCCUUCUGAAAGGAAGAUUAAUCCAGGAUGGGAUCAUGAGUUCACAUGCUCGCAUGAUUAAAGGUAUUUUCCGGUAGACGA